UAAUACGUAGGGUGCGAGCGUUAAUCGGAAUUACUGGGCGUAAAGCGUGCGCAGGCGGUUGUGUAAGACAGGCGUGAAAUCCCCGGGCUCAACCUGGGAACUGCGUUUGUGACUGCACAGCUAGAGUAUGGCAGAGGGGGGUGGAAUUCCACGUGUAGCAGUGAAAUGCGUAGAGAUGUGGAGGAACACCGAUGGCGAAGGCAGCCCCCUGGGCCAAUACUGACGCUCAUGCACGAAAGCGUGGGUAGCAAACAGGAUUAGAUACCCUGGUAGUCCACGCCCUAAACGAUGCUAACUCGAUGUUUGGAUUUAGGUUUGAGCAUCCAAGGGAAACCGAUAAGUUAGCCACCUGGGGAGUACGACCGCAAGGUUGAAACUCAAAUGAAUUGACGG
rnacentral:rRNA from 1 species